AUGUCCGGCGUUGUAGACACGCGGCGCACGACCAUCCUUGGGCAGUGUUCGCACUUAGUGAGUGGCAACGGUGCGCCGACGAGCUUUUGGGCAAGCACCGAGCCCGGCCGGCCACCAUUCGUGUAUCUGCCGACGAACCACCGACGGUGCAGAUUCGAGCGGCCAGAGGACGAGCCACUGCCUGCAUGUGGCCUUGCGGCCCUGCCAGGGCCUUCCGGCGAGGUGCCCGGCCUCCCACAGCUGGGCGAGCUCAAGACCGACCGGAUCCGCCCCAAAUCCGACCGGCGGGUGCGCAAACCAGGUGGCCGUGGUUUGGGUAGCUCGGCGGCACCGAGGGGAAGGGGCUGGGCGAGCGCGCGUCCGGGCUGCACGGCUGCAAUGGGAGCGGCGGCGGCGGCGAGGGGAACAGUGGGAAGAAUGGAGAAAAGUGGAGUGGGGUGCGGCCGGAAGGAGGGAGGGGGCGGAUAG
rnacentral:rRNA from 1 species